GCCGGCUCCAGCGCCGUGCCAAGGGCUGCUGUGCUGCCGGGGCCCGGCUGCAGCCGCAGGGAGCGGCCCGAGCUGCAACAGCGGCUCUGGGCCGGCAGGGCCGCAGCAGCAGCAGCAGCAGCAGCAGCAGGAGGAGGAGGAGGAGGCGGCAGUUCCCGGGCCCGGGAUGAGCGCUGGCAUGUAUUAUCUGAGCGGAGCUGAUGUCUCUGACCGCUUUAGCUCUAGAAUUACUCUGAGGCCCGGGAAGGCCCCGCUGGCCGUGGCAGUGGAGCUUUUGGCGGCGCUGGGAUGGAGUGGCCACGGCAGAGUGUUGCUCCGCUUGAGCCUGGGACCUUGUGGCCAGCCCAGAGUUGUGAUGGAGCGUUUUGGAGCGUCCCCAGGGCUGCAGGUCGGAACCUGGGCUGCGACAGAUUGUUCCUGUUUGCCACCCACACCUUCCUUCGAGGGAAUGAACAAACAGGCAGAGACCUGAGCAGGUGGGGAGAAGCCAAAGCCAUCCAUGGCUAUUUCUCCUCCGGAGGGGGCAGCCUUCCUUCUUCCCACCCUGGAAAGGUCUGGAAGUCCCUGUUUUUUGGGAAGCUGGCAAAGCUGUUUCCUGUCAGAGGUACAGAGGAGGUCUCUGCACUUGGAGCAGUGUGAGGAAAGGGACUCUGUGUGGAGAAGCUGGUGGAGAGCAGUGUGCUGUGGCAGGGAUCCCGGGCCUGGGGCAGGGGAAGGAGCCCCAGCUGCUCUUGGGAGCAGCAGCAGGAGGGGAUGGUGGGAUUAUUAAAAUUAUUUUUAUAUUGGGAUUAUUAAAAUUUUUGGAGGAAUGCCUGUUGCCCUAACUGAGGUACAAACGGGACCGUAAACCAAAGUCAAUAGCACGGAUUUUAUUUAAAUGUGAUAGAAAUAGAAGAAGGGGGGAGGUGGUGGGUGGUAGAGAAAGGUGGUGAUAGAUGAGGUAGAAAAUAUCAGUAGUCCAUGGGUCCCAAGGACAUCCCAUUGGGCCUGUCCAUCUGGUGAUCUUGGUGGUGAGGAUCCCGCCAUGGGUUCAGUGGAUAAUUAUCCAUUCCAGCCAGGUGGGAAUCCCCAGGCAGGGGGACGAGGGAGGCAGCGAGUUUGACAGAGUCUGGCAACAGCUCCUGGAUCUGUUGCAUCACGUGCAGCGCUCUGGUGAAGGCCUGAGGGAAUGAAAAUGAAUCUUGAGGAGCUUUGGGGGUCUUUGAUGGUUUCUAGCCCCUCCUCAGCUGCCCCUCAGGUGUGUGUGGCCUUCCUGGGCUCAGGGUUUUAGAGCUGAGUCAUUUUGUGUAGGAGAGGAUGGGUGGGUGUUCAGUGCCUGUGACCAGAAGUUGUGCCACACAGCAAAAACCUCUCGGGGGAGUGUGUGAAAAGCUCAUGGGACUGGGUCUGAGGGCCAUGGGCUCUGCCACCCCAGACCCAACCAAAGGUGUUUUCCAUGAAAGCUGCUGAGUUUUGCUUUGUGGGGGAUCCUUUCUUCUCCCUCAGCCUUGUUUACUUCUCUAGACUUGAGAUAAUUGAUGAGUGUCCCAUUUCUGCAUCUCAGGUUCCCUUUUAGGUGGCUAAAGUCAGAGUCCAAAGUUCCCCUCAGGCGGCGUCCUUGGGGCGGGGGGGCUUUAGUGGUGGCCGCUUUUUUAUAAAG
rnacentral:lncRNA from 1 species